rnacentral:lncRNA from 1 species
CUGUGUGGCAUAUUUUCAACAUUUAUAUUCCUCAAACUUCAAAAAAUUUAAACCUAUACUAAAAUUAUGUUCUUCCUCUCACUUAACAUUUGGUCUCAGAAUUUAAUUUGGCUGCUAUCCAUGUGAAUUUAUACUGGUAAAGUUCCCAAAAUGAGUCUCUUCGAGAUGAAACAUAGAUAUCAUAUCUGGGAACCAAAGAGGCGUGGUUUGUGAAACAGCUGUAUUUACAAAGUGCAACCUAAAGGAAAUGUCAUAACUUCAUACAAUAUACUAUAUGUACUAUUUUGAUAAAUUUUGAAUAACCUACAUAGCUG